CGCCUGUAUAUGUGGGGCUUGGGGGCUCUGUGCCUUUGCUGUGUGUUUGCAAGGUCGUUGAUGACCUUCUCUGGGUGUUGGUCCUCAUAUCUGGAUUCUCUCCUUGAGUGGGAAUCCCAGACGAGGCCGGCGAGGCUCAAAGCUCAACUACUGGUGGUGGCGAAGAGGCAAAGGAGAGAGGAAGGGAGGCUUGAGUGAAGUCUUGUGAGUCUUUGGCAGCCUGGAGGCACCAAGAUGAAUGGAAAUACCCUGGAAAAGGAAUCUCUAGCUCCUACUUCUCCCAUUUCAUCGAAGGCCUGUGAGCACCUUCUACUGCCCCUACAGUGAUACAGGGCCUCCCUCCUCCCUCCAAGUCCUUGUCAUCAUAUAGGACCUAUCGAGAUAAUCCAGGACAAUAUCCUCAUCUUGAGGUCAGCUGAUCAAACUGAAUUCCACCAUAGUUUCCUUAAUUAUGUAACCUGACACAUUCAUGGAUUUUAGCAUUUAAG